rnacentral:rRNA from 1 species
AUUGAACGCUGGCGGCAGGCCUAACACAUGCGGGUCGAACGGUAACAGGAAGAAGCUUGCUUCUUUGCGGACGAGUGGGGGAGGGGGGAGUAAAGUCUGGGAAAAUGCCUGAUGGAGGGGGGGAACUACUGGAAACGGUAGCGAAUAUAGCAUAACGGAGCAAGAGGAAAGAGGGGGACAUCCGGGGAUCUUGCCAGCGGAUGUGCCCAGAUGGGGUUAGCUAGAGGGGGGGGUAACGGCGCACCUAGGCGACGAUCCCUAGCUGGUCUGAGAGGAUGAGCAGCCACACUGGAACUGAGACACGGUCCAGACUCCUACGGGAGGCAGCAGUGGGGAAUAUUGCACAAUGGGCGCAAGCCUGAUCCAGCCAUGCCGCGUGUAUGAAGAAGGCCUUCGGGUUGUAAAGUACUUUCAGCGGGGAGGAAGGGAGUAAGGUUAAUACCCUUCCUCAUUGACGUUACCCGCAGAAGAAGCACCGGCUAACUCCGUG